rnacentral:rRNA from 1 species
GGCUCAGGAUGAACGCUAGCGACAGGCUUAACACAUGCAAGUCGAGGGGCAGCAUAAAAGUAGCAAUACUUGGUGGCGACCGGCGCACGGGUGAGUAACGCGUAUGCAACCUACCUAUCAGAGGGGAAUAACCCGGCGAAAGUCGGACUAAUACCGCAUAAAACAGGGACACCGCAUGGUGAUAUUUGUUAAAGAAAUUCGCUGAUAGAUGGGCAUGCGUUCCAUUAGGUAGUUGGUGAGGUAACGGCUCACCAAGCCGACGAUGGAUAGGGGAACUGAGAGGUUGGUCCCCCACACUGGUACUGAGACACGGACCAGACUCCUACGGGAGGCAGCAGUGAGGAAUAUUGGUCAAUGGGCGAGAGCCUGAACCAGCCAAGUCGCGUGAAGGAAGAAGGAUCUAUGGUUCGUAAACUUCUUUGCAGGGGAAUAAAGUGCAGGACGUGUCCUGUUUUGUAUGUACCCUGAGAAUAAGGAUCGGCUAACUCCGUGCCAGCCGCGGC